UACUUAGGGUCCGAGCGUUAUCCGGUAUUAUUGGGCGUAAAGAGUGCGUAGGCGGUUUGGUAAGUCACUGGUUAAAGCUCCGGGCCUAACCAGGAAAUCGCCCGUGUGACUAUCAGACUAGUCGGUAGCAGGGGCAAGCGGAAUUGUCGGUGUAGGAGUGAAAUCCGUUGAGAUCGACAAGAACACCAAUGGCGAAGGCAGCUUGCUAGGCUAUUUGAGACGCUGAGGCACGAAAGCGUGGGGAGCGAACGGG
rnacentral:rRNA from 1 species